GAUGAACGCUGGCGGCGUGCCUAAUACAUGCAAGUCGAGCGAACAGACGAGGAGCUUGCUCCUCUGACGUUAGCGGCGGACGGGUGAGUAACACGUGGAUAACCUACCUAUAAGACUGGGAUAACUUCGGGAAACCGGAGCUAAUACCGGAUAAUAUAUUGAACCGCAUGGUUCAAUAGUGAAAGACGGUUUUGCUGUCACUUAUAGAUGGAUCCGCGCCGCAUUAGCUAGUUGGUAAGGUAACGGCUUACCAAGGCGACGAUGCGUAGCCGACCUGAGAGGGUGAUCGGCCAAACUGGAACUGAGACACGGUCCAGACUCCUACGGGAGGCAGCAGUAGGGAAUCUUCCGCAAUGGGCGGAAGCCUGACGGAGCAACGCCGCGUGAGUGAUGAAGGUCUUCGGAUCGUAAAACUCUGUUAUUAGGGAAAAACAAAUGUGUAAGUAACUAUGCACGUCUUGACGGUACCUAAUCAGAAAGCCACGGCUAACUACGUG
rnacentral:rRNA from 1 species